UUCACUCCAGCAUUAUUCUGUUGCAGGGCCUAUGAAGCAGAUUGCUAACAAAAAGGGUUGCUCAGAGGGUUUCUUUCAAUAAACCCAAAGGAAAAGAGUCAAGAUCUCCAUAAUGAUUUUGUUUCGUUUUGAUUUCCGUACAAAGUAAGAGGUGAACCAACUAAAGUGAACUCUGCAGUAUGGACAUCUCCCUGGGGCACCUCAAGGUCAGAUGGUGUUCAUGACUUGGAUGCACAUCAGUGCUUUAAGCUUGAUGCAUGGGUGACAUUCAGCACUUCAGGGUACUUUCUAUGGGUAUAGAAGAUGUAAGUUUGAAUCCUGUGUGGAUGUACAGGACUCUGAAUCCCAUCUUCUGGAUGAAGGCUGUAGCAAAUAAAGCUCUCCUGUA